rnacentral:tRNA from 1 species
UUUAUCUUGGUGUAUUAAGCACUUAAAAUUUUGAUAUUUAGGGAAGGAAGCUAGAU